GUUGGUAUAGUUUAAUAAAAACAUUAGGUUGUGGUCCUAAAAAUAGAAGUUUAACUCUUCUUAUCUA
rnacentral:tRNA from 1 species